rnacentral:lncRNA from 1 species
AAAAAAGUACUAUUUACGUUCGUUCAAACAUGUCAAACGUUGUAUAGCAUCAAUCUUUAGGGCCAUUUUAAGUUCAAACUUCAAUACAUUCCAACCGGACCCAUGCAUUGUCUUGAAAAAUGUUUUGGAACGCAGGUAUCUGCUAACGUGAACGCGCCCUGUGAACUGAAGUGUUUUUCUGGUCACCUGCUUACCAGCGUUCUCCUUCGGUCUGUGUUUACCGCAAAAGGCUCAAACAACUUUCUAAGACUGUUGACAUCUAGUGGAAUCCUUAGGAAGUGCUAUUUGAGUCCUAACUCACUGUGUGUCAGAAAGGCAAGGACUUGAGAAAACUACAGGAACCAGAAUUUCAUUUCCUGGUUGGAUUUCUCUCAGGUUUUUGCCUUCCAUAUGAGUUCUGUUAUACUCACAGACAUCAUUCAAACAGUUUUGGAAACUUUAGAGUGUUUUCUAUCCAAAUCUACUAAUCAUUUGCAAAUAUUUGACUCUGGGCCGGAGUAUUAGGCCGUUUACUCUGGGCACGCUUUUCAUCCAAAAGUGAAAAUACUGCCCCCUAGCCCUAAAAGGAUUUAUCCUAACUAGGGUUCCUAUGUAGGGUGGUUCAUCAUGUCUGUUAUCCUAACUAGGGUUCCUAUGUAGGGUGGUUCAUGUCUGUUAUCCUAACUAGGGUUCCUAUGUAGGGUGGUUCAUCAUGUCUGUUAUCCUAACUAGGGUUCCUAUGUAGGGUGGUUCAUCAUGUCUGUUAUCCUAACUAGGGUUCCUAUGUAGGGUGGUUCAUCAUGUCUGUUAUCCUAACUAGGGUUCCUAUGUAGGGUGGUUCAUCAUGUCUGUUAUCCUAACUAGGGUUCCUAUGUAGGGUGGUUCAUCAUGUCUGUUAUCCUAACUAGGGUUCCUAUGUAGGGUGGUUCAUCAUGUCUGUUAUCCUAACUAGGGUUCCUAUGUAGAGUGGUUCAUCAUGUCUGUUAUCCUAACUAGGGUUCCUAUGUAGGGUGGUUCAUCAUGUCUGUUAUCCUAACUAAGGGUUCCUAUGCAGGGUGGUUCAUCAUGUCUGUUAUCCUAACUAGGGUUCCUAUGUAGGGUGGUUCA